UACGGAGGAGGCAAGCGUUGUCCGGAAUUAUUGGGCGUAAAGAGCUCGUAGGCGGUUUGUUGCGUCGGCUGUGAAAUCCCGAGGCUCAACCUCGGGUCUGCAGUCGAUACGAGCAAACUAGAGUGUUGCAGGGGAGACUGGAAUUCCUGGUGUAGCGGUGAAAUGCGCAGAUAUCAGGAGGAACACCGGUGGCGAAGGCGGGUCUCUGGGCAACAACUGACGCUGAGGAGCGAAAGCGUGGGGAGCGAACAGG
rnacentral:rRNA from 1 species